UCGUAACAAGGUUUCCGUAGGUGAACCUGCGGAAGGAUCAUUACCGAGUGCGGGUCUUUAUGGCCCAACCUCCCACCCGUGACUAUUGUACCUUGUUGCUUCGGCGGGCCCGCCAGCGUUGCUGGCCGCCGGGGGGCGACUCGCCCCCGGGCCCGUGCCCGCCGGAGACCCCAACAUGAACCCUGUUCUGAAAGCUUGCAGUCUGAGUGUGAUUCUUUGCAAUCAGUUAAAACUUUCAACAAUGGAUCUCUUGGUUCCGGCAUCGAUGAAGAACGCAGCGAAAUGCGAUAACUAAUGUGAAUUGCAGAAUUCAGUGAAUCAUCGAGUCUUUGAACGCACAUUGCGCCCCCUGGUAUUCCGGGGGGCAUGCCUGUCCGAGCGUCAUUGCUGCCCUCAAGCCCGGCUUGUGUGUUGGGCCCUCGUCCCCCGGCUCCCGGGGGACGGGCCCGAAAGGCAGCGGCGGCACCGCGUCCGGUCCUCGAGCGUAUGGGGCUUCGUCUUCCGCUCCGUAGGCCCGGCCGGCGCCCGCCGACGCAUUUAUUUGCAACUUGUUUUUUUCCAGGUUGACCUCGGAUCAGGUAGGGAUACCCGCUGAACCUAAGCAUAUCAAUA
rnacentral:misc_RNA from 1 species